GCUUUCCUGUGGCUCAGUUGGUCGAGCGUUGAGCUCACAAUGUAAAAGCCGUGGGUUCAUAUCCCAGAGUAAGCA